GUCUCUUUGUUUUUAUUUUAUAAAGAGUCUAACCUGCCCAGUGAUAUACAUUUUAACGGCCGCGGUACUCUGACCGUGCAAAGGUAGCAUAAUCAUUUGCCUUAUAAUUGAAGGCUUGUAUGAAUGGUUUGACAAGAAUUAGCCUGUCUCUUAUAAAUUAAAAUGAAAUUGACUUUUAAGUGUAAAGACUUAAAUUUUACUAAUAGACAAGAAGACCCUAUUGAGCUUUAAAGAUCUAUAAUAGCAUAAGAUGUAUUAGAAUAAGAUUAUAAGUUAUUAAAGUUUUUAGUUGGGGCGACUAUUGGAACAGAUAAAACUUCCAGAAUUUUGUAGUAUUUAAUAUUAAUUUAUUUAAAUUGAUCCAAAAUAUUUUGAUUAAUAGAAUAAGUUACCAUAGGGAUAACAGCAUAAUCUAUCUUAAGAGUUCUAAUCGAAAGAAAGGUUUGUGACCUCGAUGUUGGAUUAAAAUAUCCUAAGGGUGUAGAAGUUCUUAAGGGUUGGUCUGUUCGACCAUUAAAAUUUU
rnacentral:rRNA from 1 species